UACUUUAGUUUUUACUACAGCAAACUGUAGUGUAUUGUAGUAUAAUAUACCCUAUAGUUGUAGAAAACUUAGUACAGUAUUGGGUCAUUUGUUUAUAUUACUAUAAUUGUAGCAACUAUAGAAUGGUUAGUAUUUGUUUUUCUGUCAAUUCCUUAUAUUUUAUACAGAUUCUUACAGCUUCAGGAUAAUGUAUGUUAGUUUUACACUUUCUUUUACAUCAACUCUGUAAGCUACAGAGUUUAUAUCUAAAUUAAACAGUUGUAGCUAUAGUGCUGCUUUGAGGCAACUUCAAAGUGCACACUAUUCAGGACAGACCCCCUCCCACAGCCCACCUCAGCAAUCCAUGACAGGGCAAGAACUGCUCUCUCCGUCUGCACUGAGUCAUUCUGUAUUUGUGUUACAGCUGAGGAAGAACAGCACCACUUAGGACAAAAGUUUUUCAGAAAUGUUGGAGGAGGGGACAGAUUGACUGGGGAUGUUUGCUACAACGCUGCAUUGCCCUGGGCUGUGUGGGGCGGAGGAGAGCAGGGAGGGGAGGAUGGGGUCAUAACAUCCCCCUCCUCUCAGCCAGAGGUGGAUGUUUUUCUAAAGGACUUUUUUUUUUCACCACACUUUAUUAGUGCAUUUAACAUGAGCACUCUAGGCGAGAUGUGCUUCUAUUCUGAGUUUAUUAAUUCAGUCAUUUAAAAAAAUAUUUUGUUUACAUGCAAGGAAGAGUUUAACAAAAUUUGUGGUACAGAGUAAUCUCCCCCCCCAGGGUGUUAGAGAGACAAAACUGAAGGUUGACGGGAAUGGUGGAGAUUACAUUUCAAAGUGUUUCCAACUAACUUUAAUGAUACGGAUUGUAUCUUAAGAGUUUGGAUGAUAAGAAAGUUAUUUUAACUUAUACAAAGUUCAGUUAUUAUGUCAUAAUUGCUUAUUUUAAUUUGUAAUGUGUUUGUCACAGAUCAUGCAAAUGAAUUGCAGUGUCUGUGUCCAUUCAGAGUGUGUGUGCAGUGUGGGCUGUUGGCCUGUAGAGGGAGCACUUCAUACAGACUCCUGUAGGCUACAUCUCUUUUGUUGGUUCUCUCCUGUUGUUUGAGAAAUGGAGAGAGUUUGAGAUGGUAGUAAGAGGGGGAGAAUGGUUUGUGUAACGGGGUUGAGGGGUUACUGAGGUACGGAGCUAAAUACUGAGAGUUGGAGCAAAGGACCAAAGGAAGCUGGAAACAGGACACUGGAGCAGAGAAAUAAAAAGCCCGGGAUGUGAUCGGAUUCCCGCAGUCGAGGUGUUCUUUAGACCUGACCUCCGAACAGGUGUCAUGGUCAUGCUGAGGACGGUGCUGAAAUGAGAUAUUAGCGAGCCCUUCACUCAACGUGGUCAAAAUCAAUGAUCUUUGUGAGCUGCGGCCAGCACGGGAACAGUGGAGGCCAUUCUCUGUGUGAGAACUGCCCUCCGUCCAUCUGUCUCCAUUCUGGAGCCGACCCCCUCUGCACAGAACCUCUCCUGUGUGGUCACAACUGGACUAGAGUUACACGGCCCAUGUGUCCAGUGCCGGGCCGGACAACAAACAAGGCCGAAAGUGAGGCCACUCUUCCCUGUCUCACAUGAGAAGUCACUUCACAGAGGAAGAGUACUGUUUCUGCUUCUACAUACAUUCUUGAGCAAAAUCUUGGACACAAAUGCUGGAAAGAAAAUGCAUUUUUUCACUUGUUUGUGUUAUAUACGCAUUGUUUCGUGUUCUGGUUUCUCUGAAACAUAGCAUGUGGUUUAAGUUAAUGUUUUGUGUACUGUGUAAUAAAGUUAAAAACAUUUUUGAAUUGUUUGUUCCAGUGUAAUGCAAUACCGUACAGUACAUUUCUGAAUUACUGUAAGAAGUGCAUGAUCAUAACCAGCGGAAAAGGCUGAGCCUAUAUUAAACGCUAUAUGAUCACGAUUGUGAAAUCAUUAGUUGAAACUAGAUUACAACAUUGUUUAAGAUGUUAUUGGAGUGUUUUGAAUGGUUACUAUGUGGUUGCUCACUGGUCAAAAGAGUCUUGGUUCAAGGGUCAGAAAUGAAUGGGGGCUCGAUGCAGAAAUGCCCCCAAAAAUAUUAAAUGUGAAACAGAAAUCUUUCACAUUCAGAGAAAGCAGCUUACUUCCGCAUUGCAAAAUAAGGUGGAUAGUCACAGGCCAGUUAUUCUUAUUAUGGCAUUAGAUUUAUUUUAAUGUUGAUUUCUCCCUCCUUCAAGGUUACACUAUACAGUAUACUAUUUUUUUUGCUUGGGUUAUUGUCCAGCAGGAAAAAACUUAACCCAGAUCACUAGAAAAGUAAUUGCAUAUCCUCCACAAGCCACAUAAUUUGAGGUAUCAUUAUUAUUUGUGGCAUAAAAUGGCAUAUGUUUAAUACUUAUAAUACAAAUCCCUAACCUUAAAGGGUUAGUUCACCCAAAAAUGAGCUCUGCUUCAGUAUUUAUGAGUAUUUAUGUACUGUACAAGGCAACAGAAAGUAUUUGCCCACCUAAUGUCAUUGCAUAAGAAAGUAACCAAGUGGCCUUUUUAAACAAAUUAUGCUAUUUUUAGCAGAUGAAGUCAGUUCCCACAGUUUACACAGGUGUCCUAACAGAAUAACCACAGAUGUAGUUCAUUAUGGUCAUUUAAAAGGUUAGUUCACCCAAAAAUGAAAUUUCUGUCAUUAAUUACUCACCCCAAUGUUGUUCCAAAUCUGUAAGACUUUCUUCGGAACACAAAAUAAGAUAUUUUUGAUGAAAUCUGAGAGCUUUCUGCACUGUUAACCUGAAUAAAUUUGCAAAACUUGUUGUAUCAGUUACAAGUUUAAGUAAGCAGAACUGGCACAUACAUUAUUUUUGUACUCAUACAUUUUAAUUGCUCUUAACUUGAAAUAUUUGAGUAAGCCAAUUCAUAUAUUUAACUUGGAAUGUCAUGUAAUUUCCACUUAAAUAUUUUUAGUAAUGGAAACUUGGCUAGCUUUAACUAGCUAAUUCAGUGCAUGCUAACUUGCUCAUUGGUAACAGUGUUUUAAUAGCAUUUAAUAAAAUAGCAAUUGCUAAAUAAGUACAGCAAUAUAUAACAUAUAACUGUUCUUAAACCAUGCUCAUGCUUCACAUGUCAUAAUGAUGGUAACCCCCCAAAAAACCCAACAUAACAGGAACUCUUCUAAAUUAGCAUAGCAAAACAUUAAACACUACUAAAUCUCCCAUUUAGCAUUAAUCUUGCAAAAAAACAAAAAAAAAAACAAACAAAAAAAAACAUUAUAUAACAGUAAAUUUUAGCAUUUACUCUCCCUUUCAAAUGUCAUGGCAAAGCAUGCUGGAGAAUAGAAAUCCCAUCCCAG